AGGAGAGUAAAUAGUGGAAGAAGGAUAGAGAUAUAGUAAAAAUUAUGUAAUCAGCGUCAUCUCUAGAGUGUCGCAGAUGAAACAUAUAGACGGAGAAAGAUAUAAGUGGAAGAAGGAUAGAGAUAGGGUAAAAAUUAUGAAAUCAACGCCAUCUCCAGAGUGUGUAGAUGAAACAUAUAGAUGGAGAAAGGUAUUAGUGGGAGAAGGAUAGAGAAAACGUCAGAAGUGAUUGUCAGCGCCAUCUCUAGGCGAAUAGUGGCUGUGUCAAGUGUGAAGUUUGAAUGUUUUUGCGUGCGUCUAUUAAGAGAAGAAUUUGUUUGAAAGUGAAUAAAUUUUUGUGCAAAAGAAGAAUGAAUAGGAUGCCGUUGUUGAGAUCUUCAAUUGGCAGCAACUUCAAUAUGGGGAGGGAGGGGGACGAAUGAACACAGAAGCGCUAAAUCGAGGAUUUAAACAACGUUCACGGCGGUGAGAUAGGCCAGUCAUUUACGUGGAUUAAAAGCCGUGAGGGAGGCGUCCAGGCACCCCGAGGGAUGCGGGAGAGAGAGAUGGUUUUGGGGGCUUUGGCCACAAUCCGGUCACACGCCUGACCAAUUCCUCCAACGCUCGCUCCCAACCGUUGUUGUUCGCAGAAAACUAGAGUGUUAAACCAUAUCCAUUGUUCAUUCCUUUAAACCGCUGUGUAAUCUGUCGAGCACGAGUCAAAACAAUAUGCGGGAUAUCGAGGGGUGGGUGGCUCUCUUCCGCCAGUUCAGUUAUAUUAUUCUUCUUCGAACAAUUGUUGAAAAGUUGUCGAAACAAAAUCUUGCGAAAGAUUUUGGGGGUGUUGUA